CCGCGGUAUCCUAACCGUGCAAAGGUAGCGCAAUCAAUUGCCCCUUAAAUGGGGGCCUGUAUGAAUGGUAUGACGAGGGUUCUACUGUCUCUUUUUUCCAGUCAGUGAAACUGAUCUGUCCGUGCAGAAGCGGACAUUUUUAUACAAGACGAGAAGACCCUAUGGAGCUUUAGACACUAGCCAACUUUUAUAAGCAAUCUAACCAAAAGAAUUCCACUUAAGAUAGUACUGGUAAUGUAGUCUUAGGUUGGGGCGACCACGGGAGAAAAAACAGCUCCCAAGAAGAAAGGGGAAAACACCCUUAAACCAAGAGUUACAACUCAAGGCCACAAAAUUUUUGACUAAUAUGAUCCGGCAUAAGCCGAUUAACGAACUAAGUUACCCUAGGGAUAACAGCGCAAUCCCCUCCCAGAGUCCCUAUCGACAAGGGGGUUUACGACCUCGAUGUUGGAUCAGGACAUCCUAAUGGUGCAACCGCUAUUAAGGGUUCGUUUGUUCAACGAUUAAAGUCCUACAUGAUCUGAUUUCCAAAACAGGGA
rnacentral:rRNA from 1 species